rnacentral:rRNA from 1 species
CGGCAGCACGGAGAGCUUGCUCUCUGGUGGCGAGUGGCGAACGGGUGAGUAAUAUAUCGGAACGUGUCCAAUAAUGGGGGAUAACGAGUCGAAAGAUUCGCUAAUACCGCAUACGCCCUACGGGGGAAAGCAGGGGAUCGUAAGACCUUGCGUUAAUGGAGCGGCCGAUAUCUGAUUAGCUUGUUGGUGAGGUAAAGGCUCACCAAGGCGACGAUCAGUAGCUGGUUUGAGAGAACGACCAGCCACACUGGAACUGAGACACGGUCCAGACUCCUACGGGAGGCAGCAGUGGGGAAUUUUGGACAAUGGGGGCAACCCUGAUCCAGCCAUUCCGCGUGAGUGAAGAAGGCCUUCGGGUUGUAAAGCUCUUUCGCAAGGGAAGAAAACUUAUGAUCGAAUAAAUCAUGAGGUUGACGGUACCUUGAUAAGAAGCACCGGCUAACUACGUGCCAGCAGCCGCGGUAAUACGU